CUACGGGUUGCUGCAGUAGGGAAUAUUGGUUAAUGGGCGAAAGCCUGAACCAGCAACGCCGCGUGCGCGAUGAAGGCCUUCGGGCUGUAAAGCGCUUUUUGAGGGGAUGAGAAAGGACAGUACCCUCAGAAUAAGUCUCGGCUAACUACGUGCCAGCAGCCGCGGUAAAACGUAGGAGGCGAGCGUUAUCCGGAUUUACUGGGCGUAAAGCGCGUGCAGGCGGUUCGGUAAGUUGGAUGUGAAAGCUCCUGGCUAAACUGGGAGAGGUCGUUCAAUACUGCCGGGCUAGAGGAUGGGAGAGGGAGGUGGAAUUCCGGGUGUAGUGGUGAAAUGCGUAGAUAUCCGGAGGAACACCAGUGGCGAAGGCGGCCUCCUGGCCCAUAUCUGACGCUCAGACGCGAAAGCUAGGGUAGCAAACGGGAUUAGAUACCCUCGUAGUC
rnacentral:rRNA from 1 species